rnacentral:lncRNA from 1 species
UCUAAAAAGUUAUGCAAAAGCUAAACAUUUACCUUGAGCUGCUGAAAUGGCGGCGGUUUCACGGUACCGUCGCUUUCACCGACAGUAAAACGUAAAACCCGGUCGUGGUAACACCAGAGUCCAAACCACGCGCUCCUAGAGCCGACAAUGCACAAAUAUCGAUGGAUUUCGUUGGCUAUGGAUUUUAACGGAUAUGUGACACUAGCGGCACCUAGAAAAGUUGAAAACUACAUGACGUCGGGGUUAAACAUCAAUAAAUAAAUAAAUUGGUAGCGUUUGUUUUAUUCAUACAUUAGUUUGGUGACUUAUCAAUUUAAACAAAUCUCCACAGACAAAUUAUAACAGCACAGUCGUACCGUCGGUGUCAUCCUUGGUGUUAUCCUACGUUGAUUUCAUGAAUUGCAGUUUACACCAACACGCUCGGCAACAAGCAGUAAAAUAAUUAUGCCUAAUUUUUAACAACAAACAAGAAAAGUAGCGAGAAGUAUAUUCUUAUUGAAUCAUAUACCGACUAACCACUGAUCGGUAUAGCCAGCUUCGCGACCUCACCUGUCUCGGCUGGCAACCCGAUUUUCGAGUUUUGUUCUUUUUCUUUGUUUCUUCCGUGUCCACGUUGUUGCUGUCGCGUGUCAACGGUUAUACAACGGUGUUACUAAAAUAUUUUUAUUUCUGUUUUAAGUAGUAUGGUGCGUGUGUGGCAGUACUCACGUUGGACAAUGUUCCAGAAGAACUUUUCGUCUAGUUGAACUAUCUGCUUGAGUUGUCCAUUUCGGCACAUCCAGUCUGCGACUGUGAGCUACAGGUCUGCACGGUGGAGAGGGGCUUCCCCACGCCUGGGUCAAGCACAUCCAGUCUGCCGCUGUGAGCUACAGACGGACACUCCCUCCAAGGUCUGACUAGGACAUGGGUCAGACAACAGCAAGACAGCUGCUAAAUAUAUGGCAGAAGAGCUUUCCAGGGCAGAAAGGUAUUGCACAGUUGACAAAAAGGGCGACUGUCGAGGAGUGGAGCCACCAGAAGAUCUGGAGAAAAUGCAUACUAUUAAAAUUAUCAUCUUAUUUCAAUAUA